UUUAUCAUCAUGAGAUAAAUGUUAAUUACACAAUUUAAUGGCUACAGAAUAAUGACACCGGUGGGAUUUCGAUUAGUUCUCUAUAAACCAAAGCCAAAUUUAGAAAAGGACAGUGCUUGUUUUCCCUUGUGGCUUUAUGUCGUUAUCUCCUUAUAGAGAGCCAGUGUUAGUUCUUUGCUGUUAUUUUCCACAGUGUCAGAAAUGGUGGAUGGUGAAACAACAGAAGAAACUGCAAAAACCCAAAAUGCAGUGUGUUGGUAGCUGUUCUAAGGAAAACAGAAAGCGUCAUCAUCAAUAAAACCACCUGGAAAUUAGGGAGGGAAAAGUUCAAAUGUUUUCUGUUUCCGCUUUAAAAGAAAACAUUGGUUUGUUGAAAUUGUCUAAUAAUGAUUUAACACACUGUCCUUAACUACUGCUGUUUUAUUUUUUCAGUUUUGAAGCUUCACACACAAUCUGGUGUCUAAUAAUUGACCUUUUAAAAAAAAUCCUAAUUUCUUCUAACCUUCUCUAUACACCAUCCCCAGUGGUUUUGCAGCCCCGCUCAAUGAGAAUGAGUAGAGAUCCUUUUAUUUGCAGUAGUCUGUCAGUCACAUCUGCUUUUAGCAAGUUUAGUGCUUUUAUGUAACUUUUAAUCACCUGUAAUAUUUACAGAGAGAGUACAAGAAGGCGCUGGAGCAGGAGAUUAAGGGCAAAGGAAUGUUGGCUUUGGCUACAGACACCCCCGACUUCAUGAGGGCGAGGAACGCUACUGACAUCCUCAGUCAGACUAAGUACAAGCAGACCGCUGAGAUGGACAGAGCGAGCUACACCACUGUCAUCGACACCCCAGACAUCAUCCAUGCUCAGCAGAUGAAGAACAUCGUCAGCCAG